UACGUAGGGUGCAAGCGUUAAUCGGAAUUACUGGGCGUAAAGCGUGCGCAGGCGGUUUUGUAAGUCUGUCGUGAAAUCCCCGGGCUCAACCUGGGAAUUGCGAUGGAGACUGCAAGGCUAGAAUCUGGCAGAGGGGGGUAGAAUUCCACGUGUAGCAGUGAAAUGCGUAGAGAUGUGGAGGAACACCGAUGGCGAAGGCGGCAUCCUGGACCAAUUCUGACGCUGAGGAGCGAAAAGCCAGGGGAGCAAAGCGGG
rnacentral:rRNA from 1 species